GAUGAACGCUAGCGACAGGCUUAACACAUGCAAGUCGAGGGGCAGCACGAUGUAGCAAUACAUUGGUGGCAACCGGCGCACGGGUGAGUAACGCGUAUGCAACCUACCUAUCAGAGGGGAAUAACCCGGCGAAAGUCGGACUAAUACCGCAUAAAACAGGGGUUCCACAUGGAAAUAUUUGUUAAAGAAUUAUCGCUGAUAGAUGGGCAUGCGUUCCAUUAGAUAGUUGGUGAGGUAACGGCUCACCAAGUCCACGAUGGAUAGGGGUUCUGAGAGGAAGGUCCCCCACACUGGUACUGAGACACGGACCAGACUCCUACGGGAGGCAGCAGUGAGGAAUAUUGGUCAAUGGGCGAGAGCCUGAACCAGCCAAGUCGCGUGAAGGAUGAAGGAUCUAUGGUUUGUAAACUUCUUUUAUAUGGGAAUAAAGUGAGGAACGUGUUCCUUUUUGUAUGUACCAUAUGAAUAAGCAUCGGCUAACUCCGUGCCAGCAGCCGCGGUAAUACGGAGGAUGCGAGCGUUAUCCGGAUUUAUUGGGUUUAAAGGGUGCGUAGGUGGCUAAUUAAGUCAGCGGUGAAAGUUUGUGGCUCAACCAUAAAAUUGCCGUUGAAACUGGUUAGCUUGAGUAUAUUUGAGGUAGGCGGAAUGCGUGGUGUAGCGGUGAAAUGCAUAGAUAUCACGCAGAACUCCGAUUGCGAAGGCAGCUUACUAAACUAUAACUGACACUGAAGCACGAAAGCGUGGGGAUCAAACAGGAUUAGAUACCCUGGUAGUCCACGCAGUAAACGAAUGAUUACUAGCUGUUUGGGAUACCCAGUAAGCGGCACAGCGAAAGCGUUAAGUAAUCCACCUGGGGAGUACGCCGGCAACCGGUGAAACUCAAAGGAAUUGACGGGGGCCCGCACAAGCGGAGGAACAUGUGGUUUAAUUCGAUGAUACGCGAGGAACCUUACCCGGGUUUGAACGCAUUCGGACCGGAGUGGAAACACUUCUUCUAGUAAUAGCCGUUUGCGAGGUGCUGCAUGGUUGUCGUCAGCUCGUGCCGUGAGGUGUCGGCUUAAGUGCCAUAACGAGCGCAACCCUUAUCACUAGUUACUAACAGGUCAUGCUGAGGACUCUAGUGAGACUGCCAGCGUAAGCUGUGAGGAAGGUGGGGAUGACGUCAAAUCAGCACGGCCCUUACAUCCGGGGCGACACACGUGUUACAAUGGUGGGGACAAAGGGCAGCUACCGUGUGAGCGGAUGCAAAUCUCCAAACCCCAUCUCAGUUCGGAUCGAAGUCUGCAACCCGACUUCGUGAAGCUGGAUUCGCUAGUAAUCGCGCAUCAGCCAUGGCGCGGUGAAUACGUUCCCGGGCCUUGCACA
rnacentral:rRNA from 1 species